CAAGACGGAAAGACCCCGUGAACCUUUACUAUAGCUUGACACUGAACAUUGAGCCUUGAUGUGUAGGAUAGGUGGGAGGCUUUGAAGUGUGGACGCCAGUCUGCAUGGAGCCGACCUUGAAAUACCACCCUUUAAUGUUUGAUGUUCUAACGUGGACCCGUUACCCGGGUUGCGGACAGUGUCUGGUGGGUAGUUUGACUGGGGCGGUCUCCUCCUAAAGAGUAACGGAGGAGCACGAAGGUUGGCUAAUCCUGGUCGGACAUCAGGAGGUUAGUGCAAUGGCAUAAGCCAGCUUGACUGCGAGCGUGACGGCGCGAGCAGGUGCGAAAGCAGGUCAUAGUGAUCCGGUGGUUCUGAAUGGAAGGGCCAUCGCUCAACGGAUAAAAGGUACUCCGGGGAUAACAGGCUGAUACCGCCCAAGAGUUCAUAUCGACGGCGGUGUUUGGCACCUCGAUGUCGGCUCAUCACAUCCUGGGGCUGAAGUAGGUCCCAAGGGUAUGGCUGUUCGCCAUUUAAAGUGGUACGCGAGCUGGGUUUAGAACGUCGUGAGACAGUUCGGUCCCUAUCUGCCGUGGGCGCUGGAGAACUGAGGGGGGCUGCUCCUAGUACGAGAGGACCGGAGUGGACGCAUCACUGGUGUUCGGGUUGUCAUGCCAAUGGCACUGCCCGGUAGCUAAAUGCGGAAGAGAUAAGUGCUGAAAGCAUCUAAGCACGAAACUUGCCCCGA
rnacentral:rRNA from 1 species